rnacentral:rRNA from 1 species
UACGUAGGGUGCAAGCGUUGUCCGGAAUUAUUGGGCGGAAAGAGCUCGUAGGCGGUUCGUCACGUCGGCUGUGAAAACCUGAGGCUCAACCUCAGGCCUGCAGUCGAUACGGGCGGACUCGAGUUCGGCAGGGGAGACUGGAAUUCCUGGUGUAGCGGUGAAAUGCGCAGAUAUCAGGAGGAACACCGGUGGCGAAGGCGGGUCUCUGGGCCGAUAUUGACGCUGAGGAGCGAAAGCGUGGGGAGCGAACAGG